GGUGGCUCAAUGGUAGAGUACUUGCCUUGCAUGCAUGAGGCGCUGGGUUCGAUUCCUCAGCACCA
rnacentral:tRNA from 1 species